rnacentral:lncRNA from 1 species
CUUAAUUUUUGAAAUGUCAAACAAAAGAUCAAACACAGAGGGGUGACAUACACCCAUCUCUGUGACUUGUGGAACUUGCUGGUUUUGCAUCCAGCUUAUCAGCUGUCUUCUUCUUGGUGUGAAGAUUGAGUUUUACAUUCAUGUGGUCGGGAAGCAUGAUAUCUGCACCCUGGCAUGUCAUACAGCAUCAGGACCAUCUACUGUCUUGCAUGAGGUUAUUAUGACAGGUUCCUGUGUUUCUGUGGCCUGGGUCCAUGAAGCAUGUCACAUUUGAUGAAUGUCUGACAAAUAACCUAGAUGUAAUAUUAAAAAGGGAAAAGGCAACAAAGUUGGAAGAUAAGCAAUAUAGCAGGACCUCCCUGUACCAGUGGCUGUGUAAAAAUGGAGCUGAGUGAUUUUCAAAUUGCGACAAUGUGAC